AAUGAACGCUGGCGGCAUGCCUUACACAUGCAAGUCGAACGGCAGCAUGACCUAGCUUGCUAGGUUGAUGGCGAGUGGCGAACGGGUGAGUAAUGCAUCGGAACGUGCCUUUUAGUGGGGGAUAACGUAGCGAAAGUUACGCUAAUACCGCAUAUUCUCUGAGGAGGAAAGCAGGGGACCUUCGGGCCUUGCGCUAGAAGAGCGGCCGAUGUCGGAUUAGCUAGUUGGUGAGGUAAAGGCUCACCAAGGCAACGAACCUUGCCGGGGCUGAGUGGAUGUACCGCCACUCUGGGUCUGCAAUUCGGCCCAGACCCCUGCGGGAGGCGGCAGUGGGGAAUUUUGGACGAUGGGCGCAAGCCUGAUCCAGCCAUGCCGCGUGGGUGAAGAAGGCCUUCGGGUUGUAAAGCUCUUUCGGCUGCGAAGAAAUCGCACCCUCUAAUACAGAGAGUUGUUGACGGUACCAGCAUAAGAAGCACCGGCUAACUACGUG
rnacentral:rRNA from 1 species